UACGGGAGGCGACAGUGGGGAAUAUUGCGCAAUGGGCGAAAGCCUGACGCAGCGACGCCGCGUGCGGGAUGACGGCCUUCGGGUUGUAAACUGCUGUCGGGGGGGACGAAGAUCUGACGGUACCCCCAAAGGAAGCACCGGCUAACCUCUGUGCCAGCAGCCGCGGUAAUA
rnacentral:rRNA from 1 species